rnacentral:lncRNA from 1 species
GUACCUUUGCAGAACAAUAUUCGCCACAUCAACAGAGGACUGAAUUAUUUACGGGGACUUAAGUUAGCACAUCCAGUAACACAGGAAGAGUCUUUCGAAAUAUCGUUAUUAAUCGGAGCAGACUACUACUGAGACUUAGUCGAGAAUGAAGUCGUAAGAGGAAAUGGUCCAACUGCCGUAAAGUCAAAGUUAGGUUUCUUACUUUCCGGUUCAAUAAGGGACAAAAGCGAACACGCAUUGAUAUGUACCAACAUAUUAAGCAUUCUUGUUUCGCACAAACCAGAGGAACACGAUAUAAAAACCUCUCUAAACACAACAAACAGAAGUACUCAAUCUAGACGAUUAGCAAGUGCCAAGGUCCGGAAGAA